rnacentral:tRNA from 1 species
GCGGUCGUGGCUCAGUGGAUAGAGCAAGAGUUUCCUAAACUCUAGGUCGGAGGUUCGAUUCCUCUCGACCGCGCCA